rnacentral:misc_RNA from 1 species
GGGGUCAGCUCCCAAGCCGUUCAUCCUGGCUCAGUUCUGGCGUGGCUCAUCAUUCCCCUUUCCCCGUU